rnacentral:rRNA from 1 species
GGGUUGUGAGGUUAAGCGACUAAGCGUACACGGUGGAUGCCCUGGCAGUCAGAGGCGAUGAAGGACGUGCUAAUCUGCGAUAAGCGUCGGUAAGGUGAUAUGAACCGUUAUAACCGGCGAUUUCCGAAUGGGGAAACCCAGUGUGAUUCGUCACACUAUCAUUAACUGAAUCCAUAGGUUAAUGAGGCGAACCGGGGGAACUGAAACAUCUAAGUACCCCGAGGAAAAGAAAUCAACCGAGAUUCCCCCAGUAGCGGCGAGCGAACGGGGAGCAGCCCAGAGCCUGAAUCAGUGUGUAUGUUAGUGGAAGCGUCUGGAAAGGCGUGCGAUACAGGGUGACAGCCCCGUACACAAAAAUGCACAUACUGUGAGCUCGAUGAGUAGGGCGGGACACGUGGUAUCCUGUCUGAAUAUGGGGGGACCAUCCUCCAAGGCUAAAUACUCCUGACUGACCGAUAGUGAACCAGUACCGUGAGGGAAAGGCGAAAAGAACCCCGGCGAGGGGAGUGAAAAAGAACCUGAAACCGUGUACGUACAAGCAGUGGGAGCACGCUUAGGCGUGUGACUGCGUACCUUUUGUAUAAUGGGUCAGCGACUUAUAUUCUGUAGCAAGGUUAACCGAAUAGGGGAGCCGAAGGGAAACCGAGUCUUAACUGGGCGUUAAGUUGCAGGGUAUAGACCCGAAACCCGGUGAUCUAGCCAUGGGCAGGUUGAAGGUUGGGUAACACUAACUGGAGGACCGAACCGACUAAUGUUGAAAAAUUAGCGGAUGACUUGUGGCUGGGGGUGAAAGGCCAAUCAAACCGGGAGAUAGCUGGUUCUCCCCGAAAGCUAUUUAGGUAGCGCCUCGUGAAUUCAUCUCCGGGGGUAGAGCACUGUUUCGGCAAGGGGGUCAUCCCGACUUACCAACCCGAUGCAAACUGCGAAUACCGGAGAAUGUUAUCACGGGAGACACACGGCGGGUGCUAACGUCCGUCGUGAAGAGGGAAACAACCCAGACCGCCAGCUAAGGUCCCAAAGUCAUGGUUAAGUGGGAAACGAUGUGGGAAGGCCCAGACAGCCAGGAUGUUGGCUUAGAAGCAGCCAUCAUUUAAAGAAAGCGUAAUAGCUCACUGGUCGAGUCGGCCUGCGCGGAAGAUGUAACGGGGCUAAACCAUGCACCGAAGCUGCGGCAGCGACGCUUAUGCGUUGUUGGGUAGGGGAGCGUUCUGUAAGCCUGUGAAGGUGUACUGUGAGGUAUGCUGGAGGUAUCAGAAGUGCGAAUGCUGACAUAAGUAACGAUAAAGCGGGUGAAAAGCCCGCUCGCCGGAAGACCAAGGGUUCCUGUCCAACGUUAAUCGGGGCAGGGUGAGUCGACCCCUAAGGCGAGGCCGAAAGGCGUAGUCGAUGGGAAACAGGUUAAUAUUCCUGUACUUGGUGUUACUGCGAAGGGGGGACGGAGAAGGCUAUGUUGGCCGGGCGACGGUUGUCCCGGUUUAAGCGUGUAGGCUGGUUUUCCAGGCAAAUCCGGAAAAUCAAGGCCGAGGCGUGAUGACGAGGCACUACGGUGCUGAAGCAACAAAUGCCCUGCUUCCAGGAAAAGCCUCUAAGCAUCAGGUAACAUCAAAUCGUACCCCAAACCGACACAGGUGGUCAGGUAGAGAAUACCAAGGCGCUUGAGAGAACUCGGGUGAAGGAACUAGGCAAAAUGGUGCCGUAACUUCGGGAGAAGGCACGCUGAUACGUAGGUGAAGCGACUUGCUCGUGGAGCUGAAAUCAGUCGAAGAUACCAGCUGGCUGCAACUGUUUAUUAAAAACACAGCACUGUGCAAACACGAAAGUGGACGUAUACGGUGUGACGCCUGCCCGGUGCCGGAAGGUUAAUUGAUGGGGUUAGCGCAAGCGAAGCUCUUGAUCGAAGCCCCGGUAAACGGCGGCCGUAACUAUAACGGUCCUAAGGUAGCGAAAUUCCUUGUCGGGUAAGUUCCGACCUGCACGAAUGGCGUAAUGAUGGCCAGGCUGUCUCCACCCGAGACUCAGUGAAAUUGAACUCGCUGUGAAGAUGCAGUGUACCCGCGGCAAGACGGAAAGACCCCGUGAACCUUUACUAUAGCUUGACACUGAACAUUGAGCCUUGAUGUGUAGGAUAGGUGGGAGGCUUUGAAGUGUGGACGCCAGUCUGCAUGGAGCCGACCUUGAAAUACCACCCUUUAAUGUUUGAUGUUCUAACGUGGACCCGUGAUCCGGGUUGCGGACAGUGUCUGGUGGGUAGUUUGACUGGGGCGGUCUCCUCCUAAAGAGUAACGGAGGAGCACGAAGGUUGGCUAAUCCUGGUCGGACAUCAGGAGGUUAGUGCAAUGGCAUAAGCCAGCUUGACUGCGAGCGUGACGGCGCGAGCAGGUGCGAAAGCAGGUCAUAGUGAUCCGGUGGUUCUGAAUGGAAGGGCCAUCGCUCAACGGAUAAAAGGUACUCCGGGGAUAACAGGCUGAUACCGCCCAAGAGUUCAUAUCGACGGCGGUGUUUGGCACCUCGAUGUCGGCUCAUCACAUCCUGGGGCUGAAGUAGGUCCCAAGGGUAUGGCUGUUCGCCAUUUAAAGUGGUACGCGAGCUGGGUUUAGAACGUCGUGAGACAGUUCGGUCCCUAUCUGCCGUGGGCGCUGGAGAACUGAGGGGGGCUGCUCCUAGUACGAGAGGACCGGAGUGGACGCAUCACUGGUGUUCGGGUUGUCAUGCCAAUGGCACUGCCCGGUAGCUAAAUGCGGAAGAGAUAAGUGCUGAAAGCAUCUAAGCACGAAACUUGCCCCGAGAUGAGUUCUCCCUGACCCUUUAAGGGUCCUGAAGGAACGUUGAAGACGACGACGUUGAUAGGCCGGGUGUGUAAGCGCAGCGAUGCGUUGAGCUAACCGGUACUAAUGAACCGUGAGGCUUAACCUUACAACGCCGAAG